AUUGAACGCUGGCGGCAGGCCUAACACAUGCAAGUCGAACGAGUGGCGGACGGGUGAGUAAUGUAUGGGAAACUGCCUGAUGGAGGGGGAUAACUACUGGAAACGGUAGCUAAUACCGCAUACCAUCAGAUGUGCCCAGAUGGGCUUAGCCAGUUGUGGGGGUAACGGCACCCCAAGGCCACGAUCCCUAGCUGGUCCGAGAGGAUGACCCGCCACACUGGAACUGAGCCACGGUCCGGACUCCUACGGGAGGCGGCGGUGGGGAAUUUUGCACAAUGGGCGCAAGCCUGCUGCAGCCAUGCCGCGUGUAUGAGGAAGUCCUUCGGGUGUUAAAGUACUUUCAGCGGGGAGGCGGUACCCGCAGAAGAAGCACCGGCUAACUCCGUGCCAGCAGCCGCGGUAAUUC
rnacentral:rRNA from 1 species